rnacentral:rRNA from 1 species
ACGGGUGAAUAACGCGUGGGUCACCUACCCUGUACACACGGAUAACAUACCGAAAGGUAUGCUAAUACGGGAUAAUAUAUCUGAGAGGCAUCUCUUAAAUAUCAAAGGUGAGCCAGUACAGGAUGGACCCGCGUCCGAUUAGCUAGUUGGUAAGGUAACGGCUUACCAAGGCGACGAUCAGUAGCCGACCUGAGAGGGUGAUCGGCCACAUUGGAACUGAGACACGGUCCAAACUCCUACGGGAGGCAGCAGUGGGGAAUAUUGCACAAUGGGCGAAAGCCUGAUGCAGCAACGCCGCGUGAGUGAUGAAGGCCUUCGGGUCGUAAAACUCUGUCCUCAAGGAAGAUAAUGACGGUACUUGAGGAGGAAGCCCCGGCUAACUACGUGCCAGCAGCCGCGGUAAUACGUAGGGGGCUAGCGUUAUCCGGAUUUACUGGGCGUAAAGGGUGCGUAGGCGGUCUUUCAAGUCAGGAGUGAAAGGCUACGGCUCAACCGUAGUAAGCUCUUGAAACUGGGAGACUUGAGUGCAGGAGAGGAGAGUGGAAUUCCUAGUGUAGCGGUGAAAUGCGUAGAUAUUAGGAGGAACACCAGUUGCGAAGGCGGCUCUCUGGACUGUAACUGACGCUGAGGCACGAAAGCGUGGGGAGCAAACAGGAUUAGAUACCCUGGUAGUCCACGCUGUAAACGAUGAGUACUAGGUGUCGGGGGUUACCCCCCUCGGUGCCGCAGCUAACG